AGCAUCCACUUAUCAAGCUAAUAAGCUGCUUUUUCUUAUUGUGAAAACUAGCCUUCUACAGCUCUUAACAUCAGUUAAUGCUAGUCUGAGAAAACCAGCAGAGAAGGGGCCACUAAUCUAGGAAUCAUCGAAUCAAUAGCAAUAAGCAUGGUUUGAGGCCAGAUAUUGCAUGGUACCGUUAGUAGCUUUCUUUCUAAUCCAGGAAAGAUGGC
rnacentral:lncRNA from 1 species